GACCUUGGCUCGCUUCACACCUCAGCCCCCGCUGCAUCAUGGUGAUGUGGACUAAAGAGGCAGACUGAUGGGGCGGAGAGACGAUCUGUCAACGAUUCUGGUCUCGUGCUGCUGUUUCGAUGAGCUGCACAGGUGACGGAGAGAAAGAGAGCUGGAGGAAGAAGACUGAAGACUUGUACUGUUCAGCUUGUACAGGAUGACUCAGCAGCAUUCAGCCCCCACGGGAACACAGGCUGCCUGUUAGCGCUCAGCUAAUAAGACGCCUGCUUGAGCCGAUGCGUCACCAUCCCACCUGAACACUGCAGAGAGAGAGAGAGAGAGAGAUAGGAGGAAGGAGGAGGGAGGCGGGAGGAGAGAGAUGCAGAUGUAGAUAUUAGAGAGAGGGAAGUGUCUUGAAGAUGAGUGCACCUGUCUCCCAGCACAAGCUGCUGCUCUCCUUCUCUCUUGUGAGUGUAUGCGCGGCACAAAGAAACACAGAUAUUUCCACAACCACUCACAGACUACAACUAUAUUGUACUGUAUUGUAUAUAUCAGACUGUUUUACGUGACUUUACAGAAGCAGGGAUCCAGGUAAAAGACAUGCAUCACAAGACAGAACGGUGAUAUUGGAAAACUGCAAAACCCUGAAACAAAAAAUAAGUGAAGCCUAUACAGCAGCAUCGCUCUCCUGGACCUGGAGCACGUCAU